AUUUUUGUGUAUAAACAUGACGAUGUUCAGAUGUGUGGGGCACACAGUUCAGUGUCAUGUUUGUGAACAGAGCAUUAAGAAAGGACUGUGUCCUGAGACUGUCCCAGCACACACUGGAGAGAUGAACACAGUAAGCAGAGACACUGGAAACUGUUCUCAAGUUUGUGAGACUAAAGCUUUCCUUCUGCCUUCUUCUCCACACUCCUCAGCACUGUUGAUAAGAAAAUGAAUGCAGGAUGAUCUCUUCUGUUUACAUGUGUUUUGUUGAAAGGCUUUUGCUUUGGGCUAAUUUCUUCCACUUGGCCAGCCAGCUUUUCUCCUGGGAUCUCUGAUGGUUGCUGUGGUGUUUGGCAGCCUGUGGCUCUGCAAGGUGUAAUGACAGGCUCCAAAUUUUCUGCUUUCUUCUGGCACUGUAAUACCUGGUGUUAGAAGUGCUGUUUACAAACUCCUUUUUUCUUUUGAGAGGGAAUGACAGAUUACCAUUCAUCAUAUACACUUGUAAACAUUUCAACUGGAAGUAACCAGAACAGUAGUGCAAUUAUUCUUUGUAACUUUCUCCAGUAUCACUCUUAGACAUUAUAGAUAAACCAGCAUGAGUAUUCUUUUUCCAUCUGAGCAAAAGCCAAUGCAGUUUUGUUUUAGGACUCCCAUCAUGACCAAUUUCCUUUGCUGUCAGUCUACACCUUCUGUUUUUCACUUCUUUCUUA
rnacentral:lncRNA from 1 species